AUGUUAAUGUGAGGGAUUUAGCGUGGUGUUAACGUGAGAGAUUAGAAUGUAAGGGUAAGCUACGUGACUCUACCGAAAGAACCAAAGAAUAUGGAUUCCUGCAGUCACGAAAGCUCCAAAUCAAGAUUACUUUGUUCCAUCAAACCCUGUGUAGUUAUUAACAUUGUUAAAAACAUUUUACCAUCGAGAACCAAAGGGAGGGGUGCAAAGGCUGCAGUCAAGGUUAAGAACCACCAGUUGUUGUUGUUGAUGAUGAGCACGUGCAAACCAAACAAAAACACCUGUGAAUUUGGGCCUCCCGUGAGACGCUUUGCAGCUCAAGCUGAAGGGUUCUCGUGCACCGGAUGGACGGACAGAUGGACCGGACGGACGUCCAUCUGUCACGUGGUCGGGGAGGUCACGGUGGCUCUCGUGGAGUCGAUCCGAUAAGAUUGAAACUCUCGCGCGAAGUUGUGUCGCUGACGGGGGGGGGACUCGCGCUGGAGGAGGGCCGGACGCGUUGAUCGCAGGGUUAAUGCGUGAUCUCCGUGUGUCUCGUGCGUGUAACGCUGUGGAGGGGCGGGCGGUUCACGGUGGCUCUCGUGGAGUCGAUUCGACAUGAGCGUAACUCUAGCGGGAAGGUGUGUCGCCGACGGGGACUCCCGCUAGAGGAGGGCCGGACGCGUUGAUCGCAGGGUUAAUGCGUGAACUCCUUGUGGCCCGUCUUCUGUAACGUUUUGGGUUUUCUUCACGAUAGCUGUCGUAGACCUCCUUUGCCAGAAACAAGAUAUAGGAAUAGGAUUUACCCUUUUAACUGGCACAAAAACUGACACCUUUAUUCAAGGCAUCAUGUUUGCAAUAACCACAACACAAGCAGUCAAAAUGCAAACAAAAAAGAGACAACUCUGAUAAUAAUGAUGAGGCGCCCUCGUCGUCUGCUCCGUGAACGCUUGGCGCCACGAGCCGUGUCUCAUUCCAAGACGCCCCUUUAAACGCUACUGCCUGAUCGAGCGAAUGCCAUUUUAGCAGCGGCAAUAUACCGAAUGGUACUUCUUGGCAACAGUGGCCUUGACAACAAUGCUGUGGCUCAACCACAAUGGCAUGUCUUGACAACAACAACAUGUCUUUACAACAGAAUGAUGUGUCUUGUUAACGAUGAUAUGUCUUGACAACAGAAUGAUGUCUUGUUAACGAUGAUAUAUCUUGACAACAGAAUGAUGCGUCUUGUUAACAAUGAUAUGUCUUGACAACAGAAUGAUGUCUUGUUAGCGAUGAUAUGUCUUGACAACAGAAUGAUGCGUCUUGUUAACGAUGAUAUGUCUCGACAGCAGAUUGAUGCGUCUUGUUAACGAUGAUAUAUCUCGACAGCAGAAUGAUGUCUUGUUAACGAUUAUAUGUCUUGACAACAGAAUGAUGUGUCUUGUUAACGAUAUGUCUUGACAACAGAAUGAUGCGUCUUGUUAGCGAUGAUAUGUCUUGACAACAGAAUGAUGCGUCUUGUUAACGAUGAUAUGUCUUGACAACAGAAUGAUGCGUCUUGUUAACGAUGAUAUGUCUUGACAACAGAAUGAUGCGUCUUGUUAACGAUGAUAUAUCUUGACAACAGAAUGAUGCGUCUUGUUAACGAUGAUAUGUCUCGACAACAGAAUGAUGCGUCUUGUUAACGAUGAUAUGUCUUCGCAACAGAAUGAUGCAUCUUGUUAACGAUGAUAUGUCUCGACAACAGAAUGAUGCAUCUUGUUAACGAUGAUAUGUCUUGACAACAGAAUGAUGUCUUGUUAACGAUGAUAUGUCUUGACAGCAGAAUGAUGCGUCUUGUUAACGAUGAUAUGUCUUGACAACAGUGCCAAGCCUGGCCAAUAACAUGCCUUGACAAUAACAACAAUGACAUGCCUUGACAACAAUGACAUGCCUUAACAAUAACAACAAUGACAUGCCUUGACAAUAACAACAAUGACAUGCCUUGACAACAAUAACAUGCCUUGACGAUAACAACAAUGACAUGCCUUGACGAUAACAACAAUGACAUGCCUUAACAA